GACGAACGCUGGCGGCGCGCCUAACACAUGCAAGUCGAACGGAGCUGAGAGGAGCUUGCUUUUCUUAGCUUAGUGGCGAACGGGUGAGUAACGCGUGAGUAACCUGCCCUGGAGUGGGGGACAACAGUUGGAAACGACUGCUAAUACCGCAUAAGCCCACGAUCCGGCAUCGGAUUGAGGGAAAAGGAUUUAUUCGCUUCAGGAUGGACUCGCGUCCAAUUAGCUAGUUGGUGAGGUAACGGCCCACCAAGGCGACGAUUGGUAGCCGGACUGAGAGGUUGAACGGCCACGUUGGGGCUGAGACACGGCCCAGACUCCUACGGGAGGCAGCAGUGGGGGAUAUUGCACAAUGGGGGAAACCCUGAUGCAGCGACGCCGCGUGGAGGAAGAAGGUUUUCGGAUUGUAAACUCCUGUCGUUAGGGACGAUAAUGACG
rnacentral:rRNA from 1 species